UAAUGUAUGGGGAUCUGCCCGAUAGAAGGGAAUAACUACUGGAAACGGUGGCUAAUACCGCAUAAUGUCUACGGACCAAAGCAGGGGCUCUUCGGACCUUGCACUAUCGGAUGAACCCAUAUGGGAUUAGCUAGUAGGUGGGGUAAAGGCUCACCUAGGCGACGAUCUCUAGCUGGUCUGAGAGGAUGAUCAGCCACACUGGGACUGAGACACGGCCCAG
rnacentral:rRNA from 1 species